UACGUAGGGUGCGAGCGUUGUCCGGAAUUAUUGGGCGUAAAGAGCUCGUAGGCGGCCUGUCGCGUCGGAUGUGAAAGCCCGGGGCUUAACCCCGGGUCUGCAUUCGAUACGGGCAGGCUAGAGUGUGGUAGGGGAGAUCGGAAUUCCUGGUGUAGCGGUGAAAUGCGCAGAUAUCAGGAGGAACACCGGUGGCGAAGGCGGAUCUCUGGGCCGAUACUGACGCUGAGGAGCGAAAGCAUGGGUAGCGAACAGG
rnacentral:rRNA from 1 species